GCGGGAAUAGCUCAGUUGGUAGAGCGCAACCUUGCCAAGGUUGAGGUCGCGAGUUCGAAUCUCGUUUCCCGCU
rfam:Marinobacter sp. BSs20148, complete genome.